AUGCGCCACCGUCCGCCGGACCGCCUCGACCUGUGCCUCUCCGCGCGCCGCUGGACCACCGGGCCCACGCGCCGCCGGCUUGCCUUGACCUGUGCCUCUCCACGCGCCGCCGUAUCGCCGCGUCCACGCUCCAGCCGCCUGGCCGCGUCGUCCACGCACCACUCCUCACGGCUGCCAUAUGCCCGACGAGAGACCGCCGGCGCAUGCUCAUCCCAACUGCCACAGCCCACCUCCUCCGCGACAUCUACCCUCGCCCAUCCCGAAACCCUAGCUGCCGCCAGCGGCUCAUUCUCCUCCGUCGCCUUCUCCACGGCUACAUCCCACCCCGCAUGCGCGGGUGCGAGCCACCGCGCGGUCGCCGCCAUGGUCGCAGCCCCGACCAAGGUCAGCACCGCCAUGCCGUCGGUCGAGUUCACCAUCGCCGUCUUCAACAAGGAUAAGAUCUCCCUCGCCAGCCACGAAUAUGAGGUCGUGGCCCAUGGCGGUGUCGGCAUGCAGAGAUCCUCAAAAUUCUAA
rnacentral:rRNA from 1 species